CAGUAGCCGCGGUAAUACGAAGGGUGCAAGCGUUAUCCGGAUUUAUUGGGUUUAAAGGGUCCGUAGGCGGAUCUGUAAGUCAGUGGUGAAAUCUCACAGCUUAACUGUGAAACUGCCAUUGAUACUGCAGGUCUUGAGUAAAUUUGAAGUGGCUGGAAUAAGUAGUGUAGCGGUGAAAUGCAUAGAUAUUACUUAGAACACCAAUUGCGAAGGCAGGUCACUAAGAUUUAACUGACGCUGAUGGACGAAAGCGUGGGGAGCGAACAGGAUUAGAUACCCCUGUAGUCCCUGUCUCUUAUCU
rnacentral:rRNA from 1 species